rnacentral:rRNA from 1 species
UCGGCGCGAUCGCCUUACGGCUCAGUAACACGUGGCACACCUAACCUAUGGAGGGGGAUAACCUGGGCAACUGGGGAUAAUACCCCAUAGACUAUGAAUGCUGGAAUGCAUUGUAGUUGAAAGGUCCGCCGCCAUAGGAUGGGUCUGCGGCCGAUUAGGUUGUUGUUGGGGUAACGGCCCUACAAGCCUGUAAUCGGUACGGGUUGUGGGAGCAAGAGCCCGGAGAUGGAUUCUGAGACACGAAUCCAGGCCCUACGGGGCGCAGCAGGCGCGAAAACUUUACAAUGCGGGAAACCGUGAUAAGGGAACUCCGAGUGCCCGUAAAAUCGGGCUGUCCAUCUGUUUAAAUAACAGGUGAAGAAAGGGCCGGGCAAGACCGGUGCCAGCCGCCGCGGUAAUACCGGCGGCUCGAGUGGUGGCCACUAUUACUGGGCUUAAAGCGUUCGUAGCUGGUCUGUUAAGUCUCUGGGGAAAUCUACUGGCUUAACCAAUAGGCGUUUCAGGGAUACUGGCAGACUAGGGACCGGGAGAGGUGAGAGGUACUCCAGGGGUAGGAGUGAAAUCCUGUAAUCCUUGGGGGGACCACCUGUGGCGAAAGCGUCUCACCAGAACGGCUCCGACAGUGAGGGACGAAAGCUGGGGGAGCAAACCGGAUUAGAUACCCGGGUAGUCCCAGCCGUAACCGAUGCGCGUUAGGUGUAUCCGUGACCACGAGUCACCGAAGUGCCGAAGAGAAAUCGUGAACUUGCCGCCUGGGAAGUACUGUCUGCAAAGCUGAACUUUACGUAAUUGGCGUGGGACACAUGCCAAAAUCAUUUAAAUCUUGCGUGACUAAGUCCGAUUAGGAGGAGGUAUUUCUGAGCUUAGACGAAAUACAUGGU